GUUUUCUAAGUAUGUACAGUACAGUUGACUUCCAAUUAACAAGCUCUGGUCAAAGCCCAGAAGAAAACA
rnacentral:tRNA from 1 species